rnacentral:rRNA from 1 species
CGAACAUUGGAAUUACAAAGUCUGCCGAAGGGUAGACCUCCCACCCUUGUGUAUUAUUACUUUGUUGCUUUGGCGAGCUGCCUUCGGGCCUUGUAUGCUCGCCAGAGAAUACCAAAACUCUUUUUAUUAAUGUCGUCUGAGUACUAUAUAAUAGUUAAAACUUUCAACAACGGAUCUCUUGGUUCUGGCAUCGAUGAAAAACGCAGCGAAAUGCGAUAAGUAAUGUGAAUUGCAAAAUUCAGUGAAUCAUCGAAUCUUUGAACGCACAUUGCGCCCCUUGGUAUUCCGGGGGGCAUGCCUGUUCGAGCGUCAUUUCAACCCUCAAGCUUAGCUUGGUAUUGAGUCUAUGUCAGUAAUGGCAGGCUCUAAAAUCAGUGGCGGCGCCGCUGGGUCCUGAACGUAGUAAUAUCUCUCGUUACAGGUUCUCGGUGUGCUUCUGCCAAAACCCAAAUUUUUCUAUGGUUGACCUCGGAUCAGGUAGGGAUACCCGCUGAACUUAAGCAUAUCAUAACCGGAGGGAAGAAC